AGUGCAUCUCUGGUGUUACUUAUAGUAUUACUUUGACAUAUGGCCUCAAAUCAGGUAGGACUACCCGCUGAACUUAAGCAUAUCAAUAAGCGGAGGAAAAGAAACUAACAAGGAUUCCCCUAGUAACGGCGAGUGAAGCGGGAAGAGCUCAAAUUUGAAAUCUGGUGGCCUCAGGUCAUCCGAGUUGUAAUCUAUAGAAACGUUUUCCGUGCUGGCUCAUGUACAAGUCCCUUGGAACAGGGCGUCAUAGAGGGUGAGAAUCCCGUCCUUGACAUGAACUACCAGUGCUCUGUGAUACGUUUUCAACGAGUCGAGUUGUUUGGGAAUGCAGCUCAAAAUGGGUGGUAAAUUCCAUCUAAAGCUAAAUAUUGGCGAGAGACCGAUAGCGAACAAGUACCGUGAGGGAAAGAUGAAAAGCACUUUGGAAAGAGAGUUAAACAGUAUGUGAAAUUGUUAAAAGGGAAACGAUUGAAGUCAGUCGUGCUCUUUGGAUUCAGCCGGUUCUGCCGGUGUACUUCCAUUGAGUGGGGUCAACAUCAGUUUUGAUCGCUGGAUAAAGGCAGGAAGAAUGUAGCACCUCCGGGUGAACUUAUAGCUUUCUGUCACAUACAGUGGUUGGGACUGAGGAACGCAGCAUGCCUUUAUGGCCGGGAUUCGUCCACG
rnacentral:rRNA from 1 species